rnacentral:rRNA from 1 species
CUUAGGUAAAUCCGGGGUCUCAAGGCCGAGAGCUGAUGACGAGUGUUCCUUUGGAACACGAAGUGGUUGAUGCCAUGCUUCCAAGAAAAGCUUCUAAGCUUCAGGUAACCAGGAACCGUACCCCAAACCGACACAGGUGGUUGGGUAGAGAAUACCAAGGCGCUUGAGAGAACUCGGGUGAAGGAACUAGGCAAAAUGGCACCGUAACUUCGGGAGAAGGUGCGCCGGUGAGGGUGAAGCAUUUACUGCGUAAGCCCACGCCGGUCGAAGAUACCAGGCCGCUGCGACUGUUUAUUAAAAACACAGCACUCUGCAAACACGAAAGUGGACGUAUAGGGUGUGACGCCUGCCCGGUGCCGGAAGGUUAAUUGAUGGGGUUAGCGCAAGCGAAGCUCUUGAUCGAAGCCCCGGUAAACGGCGGCCGUAACUAUAACGGUCCUAAGGUAGCGAAAUUCCUUGUCGGGUAAGUUCCGACCUGCACGAAUGGCGUAACGAUGGCGGCGCUGUCUCCACCCGAGACUCAGUGAAAUUGAAAUCGCUGUGAAGAUGCAGUGUAUCCGCGGCUAGACGGAAAGACCCCGUGAACCUUUACUAUAGCUUUGCACUGGACUUUGAAUUUGCUUGUGUAGGAUAGGUGGGAGGCUUUGAAGCGUGGACGCCAGUCUGCGUGGAGCCAACCUUGAAAUACCACCCUGGCAACUUUGAGGUUCUAACUCAGGUCCGUUAUCCGGAUCGAGGACAGUGUAUGGUGGGUAGUUUGACUGGGGCGGUCUCCUCCUAAAGAGUAACGGAGGAGUACGAAGGUGCGCUCAGACCGGUCGGAAAUCGGUCGUAGAGUAUAAAGGCAAAAGCGCGCUUGACUGCGAGACAGACACGUCGAGCAGGUACGAAAGUAGGUCUUAGUGAUCCGGUGGUUCUGUAUGGAAGGGCCAUCGCUCAACGGAUAAAAGGUACUCCGGGGAUAACAGGCUGAUACCGCCCAAGAGUUCAUAUCGACGGCGGUGUUUGGCACCUCGAUGUCGGCUCAUCACAUCCUGGGGCUGAAGCCGGUCCCAAGGGUAUGGCUGUUCGCCAUUUAAAGUGGUACGCGAGCUGGGUUUAGAACGUCGUGAGACAGUUCGGUCCCUAUCUGCCGUGGACGUUUGAGAUUUGAGAGGGGCUGCUCCUAGUACGAGAGGACCGGAGUGGACGAACCUCUGGUGUUCCGGUUGUCACGCCAGUGGCAUUGCCGGGUAGCUAUGUUCGGAAAAGAUAACCGCUGAAAGCAUCUAAGCGGGAAACUUGCCUCAAGAUGAGAUCUCACUGGAACCUUGAGUUCCCUGAAGGGCCGUCGAAGACUACGACGUUGAUAGGUUGGGUGUGUAAGCGCUGUGAGGCGUUGAGCUAACCAAUACUAAUUGCCCGUGAGGCUUGACCAU